rnacentral:rRNA from 1 species
UACGUAGGGGGCGAGCGUUGUCCGAAGUUACUGGGCGUAAAGCGCACGUAGGCGGUUAUCUAAGUCUGGGGUGAAAGGUUCAGUGCUUAACGCGAACAGUGCCUUGGAGACUGGAUGACUUGAGUUUGGGAGAGGGUAGUGGAAUGACUGGUGUAGCGGUGAAAUGCGUAGAUAUCAGUCGGAACACCAAUGGCGAAGGCAGCUACCUGGCCUAAAACUGACGCUGAGGUGCGAAAGCGUGGGGAGCGAACGGG